rnacentral:rRNA from 1 species
GACGAACGCUGGCGGCGUGCUUAACACAUGCAAGUCGAACGGAAAGGCCCUGCUUUUGUGGGGUGCUCGAGUGGCGAACGGGUGAGUAACACGUGAGUAACCUGCCCUUGACUUUGGGAUAACUUCAGGAAACUGGGGCUAAUACCGGAUAGGAGCUCCUGCUGCAUGGUGGGGGUUGGAAAGUUUCGGCGGUUGGGGAUGGACUCGCGGCUUAUCAGCUUGUUGGUGGGGUAGUGGCUUACCAAGGCUUUGACGGGUAGCCGGCCUGAGAGGGUGACCGGCCCCAUGGGGCUUGGGAUACGGCCCAGACCGCUACGGGAGGGAAGAGGGGGGAAUAUUGCACAAUGGGGGGAAGCCAGAUGCAGUAAAGCCGCGUUCGGGAAGCCGGGCUUCGGGUUGUAAACCGCUGUUGCCUGUGACGAAGCGUUAGUGACGGUAAUGGGUAAAGAAGCACCGGCUAACUACGUG